rnacentral:rRNA from 1 species
AGAGUUUGAUCCUGGCUCAGGAUGAACGCUAGCGGCAGGCUUAACACAUGCAAGUCGAGGGGCAGCGCGGGGCGGCAACGUCCUGGCGGCGACCGGCGGAAGGGUGCGUAACGCGUGAGCGACAUGCCCGUUGCCCGGGGACAACCGGUGGAAACGCCGACUAAUCCCCGAUGGGACGGAGGCCCUCAUGGGUCUCUGUUGAAAGUUACGGCGGCGACGGAUUGGCUCGCGUCCGAUUAGCUAGUUGGCGGGGUAACGGCCCACCAAGGCUACGAUCGGUAGGGGUUCUGAGAGGAAGGUCCCCCACAAUGGAACUGAGACACGGUCCAUACUCCUACGGGAGGCAGCAGUGAGGAAUAUUGGUCAAUGGGCGGAAGCCUGAACCAGCCAUGCCGCGUGCGGGAAGGAGGCCCUAUGGGCUGUGAACCGCUUUUGCCUGGGGGCAAUAAGGGCGUCGCGCACGUCCGAUGAGAGUACCAGGGGAAUAAGCAUCGGCUAACUCCGUGCCAGCAGCCGCGGUAAUACGGGGGAUGCGAGCGUUAUCCGGAUUCAUUGGGUUUAAAGGGUGCGUAGGCUGUGCGUCAAGUCAGGGGUGAAAUUCCGGGGCUCAACUCCGGGGCUGCCCUUGAUACUGUCGCGCUGGAGUGCGGAUGCCGCCGGAGGAAUGAGUGGUGUAGCGGUGAAAUGCUUAGAUAUCACUCAGAACACCGAUUGCGAAGGCAUCUGGCGAAUCCGUAACUGACGCUGAGGCACGAAAGCGUGGGGAUAGAACAGGAUUAGAUACCCUGGUAUUCCACGCCGUAAACGAUGAUGGCUAACCGCCGGCGACACACUGUCGGUGGCCAAGCGAAAGCGAUAAGCCAUCCACCUGGGGAGUACGUCGGCAACGAUGAAACUCAAAGGAAUUGACGGGGGCCCGCACAAGCGGAGGAACAUGUG